CCUACGGGCGGCAGCAGUAGGGAAUCUUCCACAAUGGGCGAAAGCCUGAUGGAGCAACGCCGCGUGGGUGAAGAAGGUCUUCGGAUCGUAAAACCCUGUUGUUAGAGAAGAAAGUGCGUGAGAGUAACUGUUCACGCUUCGACGGCAUCUAACCAGAAAGCCACGGCUAACUACGUGCCAGCAGCCGCGGUAAUACGUAGGUGGCAUGCGUUAUACGGUUUUAUUUGGCGUAAAGGGAACGCAGGCGGUCUGUUAAGUCUGAUAUGAAAGGCUUCGGCUUAACCGGGGUAGUGCAUUGGAAACUGGGAGACUUGAGUGCAGAAGAGGAGAGUGGAACUCGAGGUGUAGCGGUGAAAUGCGUAGAUAUAUGGAAGAACACCAGUGGCGAAGGCGGCUCUCUGGUCUGUAACUGACGCUGAGGUUCGAAAGCGUGGGUAGCAAACAGGAUUAGAUACCCCAGUAGUC
rnacentral:rRNA from 1 species